rnacentral:rRNA from 1 species
AAUGGGCGAAAGCCUGAUCCAGCAAUGCCGCGUGAGUGAUGAAGGCCUUAGGGUUGUAAAGCUCUUUUACCAGGGAUGAUAAUGACAGUACCUGGAGAAUAAGCUCCGGCUAACUCCGUGCCAGCAGCCGCGGUAAUACGGAGGGAGCUAGCGUUGUUCGGAAUUACUGGGCGUAAAGCGCGCGUAGGCGGUUUUUCAAGUCAGAGGUGAAAGCCCGGGGCUCAACCCCGGAACUGCCUUUGAAACUGGAUGACUAGAAUCUUGGAGAGGCGAGUGGAAUUCCGAGUGCAGAGGUGAAAUUCGUAGAUAUUCGGAAGAACACCAGUGGCGAAGGCGUCUCGCUGGACAAGUAUUGACGCUGAGGUGCGAAAGUGUGGGGAGCAAACAGGAUU